UCAUUCCUUCGGGGUCAGGUGAAAUUCCUAACCGGCGGUGAUGAAGCUAGUGCUUCUUAGUCCGUGACCCGUUUAACCAUUUUGUUAAACGGUGGAUCCGGUGAAAUUCCGGAGCCGACAGUUAAAGUCUGGAUGGGAGAAGGAAAGA
rnacentral:ncRNA from 2 species